rnacentral:rRNA from 1 species
UGGGGAAUAUUGCACAAUGGGCGCAAGCCUGAUGCAGCCAUGCCGCGUGUAUGAAGAAGGCCUUCGGGUUGUAAAGUACUUUCAGCGGGGAGGAAGGGAGUAAAGUUAAUACCUUUGCUCAUUGACGUUACCCGCAGAAGAAGCACCGGCUAACUCCGUGCCAGCAGCCGCGGCAAUACGGAGGGUGCAAGCGUUAAUCGGAAUUACUGGGCGUAAAGCGCACGCAGGCGGUUGAUUGAGUCAGAUGUGAAAUCCCCGGGCUUAACCCGGGAAUUGCAUCUGAUACUGGUCAGCUAGAGUCUUGUAGAGGGGGGUAGAAUUCCAUGUGUAGCGGUGAAAUGCGUAGAGAUGUGGAGGAAUACCGGUGGCGAAGGCGGCCCCCUGGACAAAGACUGACGCUCAGGUGCGAAAGCGUGGGGAGCAAACAGG